ensembl:snoRNA LOC120093999 small nucleolar RNA SNORA17
GCUUCUAGAAGUGUUGCAGUUGUGACUGCUGUAUCACAUGUAAGUGAAAGAGAGGAGAAAGGCUAUUUCUACAUUCAGUGUUCUGAUCUAUGAAUAUCUGAACGAUUAAUACCCUAACAUU